rnacentral:rRNA from 1 species
CAAUAGCGUAUAUUAAAGUUGUUGCAGUUAAAAAGCUCGUAGUUGGAUCUCUGUCGAGAGUCCGGGUCGGCCUUAACGGGUUGCACUGUUGUGACGUCUCGUCGUUUCGGGGGGAAUGGGCUCGCUAUUAGGUUAGUGUGUUCGGGAACCCCGUCGUUUACUGUGAAAAAAUUAGAGUGUUCAAAGCAGGCCUUUGCUGUGAAUACAUUAGCAUGGAAUAAUAAGAUAGGACUGUAGUGCUAUUUUGUUGGUUUGCGUACUAUGGUAAUGAUUAAUAGGGAUAGUUGGGGGUAUUCAUAUUCAAUUGUCAGAGGUGAAAUUCUUGGAUUUAUGGAAGAUGAACUACUGCGAAAGCAUUUACCAAGGAUGUUUNCAUUA